UGAGCUUUCUUUGCCUCGGGUACUUACAAUCCACUGCUGAUUAUACAUUCAGCUUCUCUGCCCGGAGCGAAGCGAAAGAGGAAGCAGAUGGGAGCAAAGCGCCCACGGCUCUGAGCAGGCAAGCGUCUGGGAGUUAUGCGUCUCUUUUUCAAUCUCUUUGUUCUUCCUGCUGCUUGGCAAAGUGGUCCGCUACAGAUUAACGGUGAAAGGAGCUCUAAGAAGCUGCGCAAAAUCUCGAUUAAAGCUGUUGCUCUGAGCACCACGCUCAGCACUUCAGCAACCCCCGUAUGCAGCGGCCAUCUUCUUGCUAUCUGCUUCUUCUCCUAUUUACCACUCUUGAAGGAGAGACUUUGCUUAUUUUCCUCCUCCUCUAAGUUCAAUACUUGCCACAUAGUGGACAUUUAACUAACAUUGGGAACUUUUUAUUUUUAAAAAAAUUUCUUGACCCAUAUAUGUACACUCUUUUUAACCAUGAAUAUGCAGGUAAAAAUCAAGCAAGCAUUAAUUUAUAAACAUGAAGUGUUUGGGUCUGUUUAGUGAUAGAAUAGGUACUUUUUUACAACAACAUUGCCCUAGUAUUAAAGGAAGCAUAUUAUAUCUUUAUUUAUCCUAUGCUAAUGGUAAAUUUUAAUCAACAUACUCUGAUUUAACAAAAGAUACAAGUAAGUGUUAAUGUGCUGAGAUAUAUAAAAUAACAGAAUUGACUACCUUAUAGUGUUCAUGUGAGCAUUAAAUAAGGUAUGAAUGUGUAGUACUAAAAACAAUGCCUGUCACAUAAAACCCCCUCACCAAGAGUUAACGACUACUAAUAGCUGAUCACAUGCAUUCCCCACUGACGUCAACAUUUCUAAGUGGAAACCAUAUCAAUGGUAAAAGUUGUCAUUAUUAGGGUUACUAAAGAUAAAACAUGUCCCAUGUUCAAAAUAAUUUAGAUGCCAAAUUCAUAUAUCUUAUUAAAAUAUGAUGAUAUCUUGUUUUUAAAGAGGCAAAGGCCAUAAUGUCCAUUCAUAGAGUGAUUUCAUUCUCAUUAAACAUAAUAAGGCUCAACUUUAAAAAUCAAAAGUUAAGAUUUUGAGAAAUUCAACAAAAGGAAAAGGAAUAGAUUCAGGAAAUACAUUACCAGAUAUGUGACAUUGAUUCCUAGAAGAAAAACAUAAGUAAUUAACUACAUCACUGAUAGUAUUGCAAAGAGUAUGCAGUAAAGACUGAAGAUAAUAAGUCAUGUUCAAUGCAGUGCCAAAAAAUUUUUUUAAAGAGUUUCAACUUUGAAGAGGCUAUAAGAUACAUGAUUCUGACAGACUUCUAAGACAGAUAAAGUUGUGAAAUGUGCUGUGGAUGAUAGUGCUCUUGGGUAGAUUAAUUGUUGGUUGUCAGUUAAAUACUGUACAGGAUUGAUUAAUAGCUUGAGAUCAAUCUGGAAACAACUCAAAGGAAGUUGAAGAUUCCAGUUCUAUUUUUUUUUUUGAUAAAUAACAUGGGUGAAGAUACAGAAGCCAGUUUAUCAAUGUUGUAGAUAACAGAUGGUUGUUACAGAAUAAAAAUUAUUUUGAUGUGUUGAAUAGAAGAAACC
rnacentral:lncRNA from 1 species